CUUGAGGAGUACGGCCGCAAGCUUGAAACUCAAAGGAAUUGACGGGGGCCCGCACAAGCGUUGGAGCAUGUGGUUUAAUUCGAAGCAACGCGAAGAACCUUACCAGCUCUUGACAUGUCUCGUAUGGAACACAGAGAUGAGUUCCUUCAGUUCGGCUGGCGAGAACACAGGUGCUGCAUGGCUGUCGUCAGCUCGUGUCGUGAGAUGUUGGGUUAAGUCCCGCAACGAGCGCAACCCUCGUCCUUAGUUGCCAUCAUUAAGUUGGGUACUUUAAGGAGACUGCCGGUGAUAAACCGCGAGGAAGGUGGGGAUGACGUCAGGUCGUCAUGGCCCUUAUGGGCUGGGCUACACACGUGCUACAAUGGUGGUGACAGAGGGCAGCCAAGGAGCGAUCCGGAGCUAAUCCUUAAAAGCCAUCUCAGUUCAGAUUGCACUCUGCAACUCGAGUGCAUGAAGUUGGAAUCGCUAGUAAUCGCAGAUCAGCUA
rnacentral:rRNA from 1 species